UACGUAGGGUGCGAGCGUUAAUCGGAAUUACUGGGCGUAAAGGGUGCGCAGGCGGUUCGCUAAGACAGAUGUGAAAUCCCCGGGCUUAACCUGGGAACUGCAUUUGUGACUGGCGGGCUAGAGUAUGGCAGAGGGGGGUAGAAUUCCACGUGUAGCAGUGAAAUGCGUAGAGAUGUGGAGGAAUACCGAUGGCGAAGGCAGCCCCCUGGGCCAAUACUGACGCUCAUGCACGAAAGCGUGGGGAGCAAACAGG
rnacentral:rRNA from 1 species